UACGAGGGGUGCAAGCGUUGCUCGGAAUUAUUGGGCGUAAAGGGUAGGUAGGUGGUCUCAUUUGUCUGUGGUGAAAGCCUUGGGCUCAACCCAAGAAGUGCCGCAGAAACGGUGAGACUAGAGUCCUGGAGAGGGUCGUGGAAUUCCCGGUGUAGCGGUGAAAUUCGUAGAUAUUCGGAGGAACACCAGUGGCGAAGGCGGCUUACUGGUCCACUUACUGACGCUGAGGUGCGAAAGCGUGGGGAGCAAACAGG
rnacentral:rRNA from 1 species